GGUGGUAGCCGCCAAGUGCCGUGUCGAAGCUGCAGGUGGCCGGCACGCCGUGUGAUGCCGGCGCGAUGUGUCGGAGGUACUGGAGGCAUUGAACAUGAUGAUCAGGUGCGUCCGGUCCAGUGCAGCACUUUUUUUGGGUUCCGUCUCCGAGUUGCAAAUGUACUGCUUGGCCAAUGGAUCAACGUUCUGGAUUGAGGUAGUGUUUGUUGAUUUAUCAUGUAUCUAGAAUUAUAGAUUCAGUAGGGAUGAUUCAUAUAGUUUCAAACUCAUUUGCUGACAUUCAGUAGUACUCUGAAUGCCAAUUGCUUUAAGAAUAGAACCACUGUAAAGCCUUGGUUAAGCAUGAAUUGAUCCUACUACCUCUUGAUUGCCAUUGACUACUUUAUGAAUAAGUUUUAGCAGUAAACAAUUAGGCUAAGUGUAUCAAUGGUAUCUAUUGAUUUAUUGGACAUGCAUGGCAUAUGUUUCUCUUUAAUUUUUGACAUUCCACUUCAUUAUAGAACUUGUUCUUUAGGAUGUUAAACGAUGGUUUUAAGGCUGAUAAUGAGCAGCUGAGCAGUAAACAUACAAUAUAGCACUGUAAUCGUAUAUUGCUCAUUGGGAUAUGCUUAUGGGUCUUCACCAAAGCUCAUAAUGGUUGAUGACAAGCUUAACUCGAGAUUCGAGGAUAAUUUUGAAUAACACACCAACAACACUGCAGCAUUGAGUACUCAUGUAGAAUAGUCAAGCCAAACAAAUGGCUUACAUUAAAAUGUAACAACUCUCCAGAUUGGUUCGAACUUAAAAUUACAAGUUUACCAGCAAUAUGAGAAAAUGGCAGAACUUAAGUAUAGCCAUAGAUUGAAGGACAUGACUGUGUCUAAAUUGUGACAUGCUAUAAGAGCAGCUCAUCUGAAACUACCCUUGACAGCCACUCCCUGUGAGUUUCAUAGUUCCUUGUAUGGGCUCACCUGUUGGGGCCCAGGAUUUAAUUUCCUGCGUGCUCUUCCCUCCGCAAGCCCAGUGACAGCAUCUGUGGCUAAUUUAUAUUGAUCCUUUACAGGAUUAGUAGAUUUAAGAGUUUCAAUCUUCCUUGGACGCCCACGUUUCCGCUUUUGGCUGCCAAUUGGCCUUGGAGGGCUGAUUUCCUUUUUGCUGGCAUCAUUUGGAGGGCUUUCUUCCUUUAUGCUGGCAUCAUUUGGAGGGCUUUCUUCCUUUUUGCUGGCAGCAUUUGGAUUGCUGAUUACCUGGAUGUCGCCGUCUGCAGCAUUGCCUUUGUCAAGCUUUGCCAUUCUAGCUUUGUAGGCCUUCUUCUGUAGAGCAGAAACCGGUAUGUUAGUUGUACUGUGCAAACAUGGAAGAUUUUGCUGAAUUGAAAAGACAGUUGUGUCGGACUAACCAGUAUAGGUUUCUCAUAGGAUUCUAGUCGAAGCGUGUUACAAUCUGAACGUAGAAGGCUUGUACAUAUUUUCCAGUUGAAAAUAUGAAUUUGUGCCUGAAUGUGCUAGCAACGCAUAUGUUAGCACGGCGACGUAGGCAUAGUAAGUAAAGGGUAGAAAAUAAAAUUAGUGUUCCACUCACCUGUGUGAAAUCAUCGGUCAUCUUUUCCCCGUCCCAAUACAACAUGUAUUUCAGAGUGUAUGACCCGCAAGAGAGUUGAGGACUUGAAUCUCUUCUUUGUCGAAAUUCAACACAAGUAGAUGCCAGUGCAUAUUGUUUACAUUGAACGGGAUUCGAACCUGCCGCAAAAUUAGCGCAGUCUCAGUAUAGGCAAGCAUUUCGAUAUGCAAAUAAAAUAAAGUUUGAUGGGACCGACUAGAUGAAAUGUUGCAUGUAGUUUGUGAUUAUGAAAUAAGAAAGUCUGUGAAGUAGGAAAGUCAGGAAACACACAUACCGUUCGGCGUCCCACACAUUUUUUUGCUAUACGAGCAAGCCAAUUGCUUUCGCUGGGACCAUGUGCCCGAGCAGUACCCCCGUAUGAUUGUAACAGCUUCCUGGUAUCUUUGGGGUAUAGAACUGAUGUAGUAUCAGUCUCUAUAUUACUAAUGUCGGCAUAUGCAUGAAUAACCUGCAAAAUCCGCGAUCAGGCAACAUGCCACCGGUUGGAAUAGUUCAACGAGAAGCAAUGCAAGAGGCAUACCUCAUCGAAAAUGAAUUUUUUUAUGACAUUUCUCUUUCACUAUGUGCAGGAAGUGAGAAUUAUUUAUCAGCCCCCUGGAUUAUCGACUCAGGUGCUACAAAUCACAUGACAGGUUCACCAAGGAGAUUCUUAUCAUACGCACCUCGGUCGGGAAGGAUAGGGUCAGGAUAGCUGAUGGAUCUUCAGCUCCUAUCAUGGGCUGUGGGAUUGUUAGGUGUACUUCAUCCCUAUCUUUAAGUCCAGUUUCGCAUGUCCCAAAUUUCCCCGACCUGAAGUCAGGGAGAGUUCUUGGGACUGGAACUGAACGUGAUGGUCUCUACUACCUUGACAAUGAACUUACUCCAUUGGCUCUUAGCGCAAUGAGUAUUUCUACAACCGAUGAGUUUAUGUUACUUCACUACAGACUUGGGCAUCCAUCGUUUCAGUCCCUAGGACGUAUGUGCAGAACUACAUUGUCUAUGAAAGGGCGCUGAUAAAUGGUGUGGUAAGGAUCCACAGAGGAACGAAUCCUGGUGUGAUGAUUUACAUGCUACCACAGGCCCCUGGAUGGUCUAAAGCGAUGAGCUAUCAUGGUUGGGGAACAAGUAUGAUUACUUCUGGUGUUGUUACGGGACAGAUAACACGAAAAACUACCCGAGUACUGUCAACUAUGUUGCACUGCUGCCUUCAUGUUUAAAUCAAGCAACUGUGUCGCUUC